rnacentral:rRNA from 1 species
UACGUAGGGUGCAAGCGUUAAUCGGAAUUACUGGGCGUAAAGCGUGCGCAGGCGGCUAUGCAAGACAGAUGUGAAAUCCCCGGGCUCAACCUGGGAACUGCAUUUGUGACUGCAUGGCUAGAGUACGGUAGAGGGGGAUGGAAUUCCGCGUGUAGCAGUGAAAUGCGUAGAUAUGCGGAGGAACACCGAUGGCGAAGGCAAUCCCCUGGACCUGUACUGACGCUCAUGCACGAAAGCGUGGGGAGCAACAGG